AGAGAAACAGAUUCCACCACCAAAUGUCGUGUAAUACGAUAUUUAUCCACUCUCGACAGUUAAAUUUUGAAUAUUUAAAACGCUUGGCGAGUCUCGCGUUUUAAAUUUAAAAAUUUAAAUGUCUCGAGUAGAUAAAUAUCGUAUCACAUUAGAUGCAGUGGUAGAAUCUUUAUUUAU
rnacentral:sRNA from 1 species